AUGCCUUCGCUAUUACAUAGCUGAUCGUUUAAACAAUGAUCCUGGGUGGAAAAAUUUGACAGUUAUUUUAUCUGAUGCUAGUGCUCCUGGUGAAGGAGAACAUAAAAUUAUGGAUUACAGUAGAAGACAAAGAGCUCAGCCUAACCAUGACCCAAACACUCAUCAUUGCUUAUGUGGAGCAGAUGCUGAUCUCAUUAUGCUCGGCCUUGCUACACAUGAACCCAACUUUACCAUUAUUAGAGAAGAAUUCAAACCAAACAAACCCAAGCCAUGUGCUCUUUGUAAUCAGUUUGGACAUGAAGUUAAGGACUGUGAAGGUUUGCCAAGAGAAAAGAAGGGAAAGUAUUUGGAAAGAGAGCUCACCAUGGCCAGCCUACCGUUCACAUUUGAUGUCGAGAGGAGCGUUGAUGACUGGGUCUUCAUGUGCUUCUUUGUGGGAAAUGACUUCCUUCCUCACCUGCCGUCGUUAGAGAUUCGGGUUACCUUACAGAAAGUGGUUAUGUCAAUCUGCAAAGAGUACAGAUGAUCAUGUUAGCAGUUGGUGAAGUUGAGGAUACCAUUUUUAAAAAGAGAAAGGAUGAUGAGGUAAAGUGUUUCUAUUGCAGUAGCUAAAUUGCUCCUGUCUCUAAUAGGCUAUGAUGAUCCUGUGAUUGUACUUUUAACCUCUUUGAGUGUGUUGUUAUAUUAUUAUAGUGUAUCAAACGCCAAUGUAAUCAUGAGUGGCCAGUGCUUUGAUUAUUUUAUAAAGGCUGUGAUGCUUGCUGUGUGGAACUGUG